GGAAAAAGAGUCAGAAGGCAUGAUUCUGGGCCAGCUCGGUGGGCAGGUGGCAGGAAAACUGCCACAUGUGGCAGAUGAAACACACCCCCAUCUGUGCCUGGAGCUCCUGGGGAACCAGCCUUCCCGAGAGACCACGAAAGACAAACCGUGCAACUUAUUCAGAUCAAGGGGCUUUCAUCCUGACGACUCGGUCACUUUCCCUUCAACUUGCCCCCCACCCCUUGUUUUUUGCUUUUUAGGGCCGAACUUGCACAUAUGGAGGUUCCCAGGCUAGGGGGCGAAUCGGAGCUACAGUUGCCGGCCUACACCACAGCCACAGCAAGGCAGGAUCCGAGAUGCAUCUGCGACCUACUCCACGGCUCAGGGCAACGCCAGAUCCUUCACCCACUGAGCGAGGCCAGGGAUCGAAGCCGCAACCUCAUGGAUACUAGUCGGGUCAGUUCCGCUGAGCCACUGCGGGAACUCCUCAAUCUGGCCUCUUAAAACUGCUCUCUGCGGAGGUCCGAGCUUUCACAGAAAAAAAAAAAAAAAAAAAAAAAAAAAAAAAGGAUGUGCUCCCUGGACCCCACUUAAACCCGGAAGCCCUUUCUCCCGAAGAGAACUCAUUGGGCAUCCUUCAGUCUGACUGCGCCCGGGGUGUGGCUGCUCACCCUCACCCCAAAGGACCCCAACACAUUUACGAAUUCAAAUAACACAGUGGCCGCCAGCGCUGCCGGCGCCCAGGGACAGACCGGGGCGUCCUGCAAGGUUGCAGCCCGGGGCUGGGGAGCCCCCUCUCCUUGGAGGUGAAGGGCCCAUUUGAGCUCCGCGCCUGGGCUCCUGGUGGCUUCCUCUUUCCUCCGGGACGGAGGAAAUCCGGUCUUUGCAGGCAGCUGCUCUCGACUCCCGGCAAUGCGGACUCGAGCCGCCGCCGGCAAACUUACCAUUUCACCCGCACUGGCUUCUCGACGGGUCUACACGGCAGGAUCCAGACAGGCAGCUGCUCUCGACUCCCGUGGAAACGCAGCCCGAGCCGGCUUCCAGAUCCCCCUCCCCAAAAUGGUCGUCUCAAGGAAGGGGAGGAGGAGGAGGAGGAGCCAAGCAGGAAGGGGAUCCCGAGAGCAGCACCCUUGCCCGCCCCCGGAAAACCUCCCGGAGCCCAGGGACUGACCCCACCCCCGGCAGAGUCACAUUUCCAGCGUAACUUUCUCCCCAGGAACUCCGGAGCCUGGAGGCAGCCGGACCUGCUAGCGUCCCCAGACGCUAGCUCCCAGCCUCGGGCUCACACCGUCCCCGCCCCUCCCCGCCCACUCCAUCCCUCCCCCCUCCCCCAACUCCCACCCAUCUCCCCCCC
rnacentral:lncRNA from 1 species